rnacentral:rRNA from 1 species
UACGAAGGGGGCUAGCGUUGUUCGGAAUUACUGGGCGUAAAGGGCGCGUAGGCGGCUCUUCAAGUUAGGCGUGAAAGUCCCGGGCUCAACCUGGGAAUUGCGCUUGAUACUGUAGGGCUUGAGUACGGGAGAGGAGAGUGGAAUUCCCAGUGUAGAGGUGAAAUUCGUAGAUAUUCGGAAGAACACCAGUGGCGAAGGCGACUACCUGGUCUGGCAUUGACGCUCAUGUGCGAAAGCGUGGGGAGCAAACAGG